rnacentral:rRNA from 1 species
AUAUUUUGAACCGCAUGGUUCAAAAGUGAAAGACGGUCUUGCUGUCACUUAUAGAUGGAUCCGCGCUGCAUUAGCUAGUUGGUAAGGUAACGGCUUACCAAGGCAACGAUGCAUAGCCGACCUGAGAGGGUGAUCGGCCACACUGGAACUGAGACACGGUCCAGACUCCUACGGGAGGCAGCAGUAGGGAAUCUUCCGCAAUGGGCGAAAGCCUGACGGAGCAACGCCGCGUGAGUGAUGAAGGUCUUCGGAUCGUAAAACUCUGUUAUUAGGGAAGAACAUAUGUGUAAGUAACUGUGCACAUCUUGACGGUACCUAAUCAGAAAGCCACGGCUAACUACGUGCCAGCAGCCGCGGUAAUACGUAGGUGGCAAGCGUUAUCCGGAA